UUAAGUUAAUAAGGGCGCACGGUGGAUGCCUUGGCACUAGGAGCCGACGAAGGACGUGACAAACGACGAUAUGCCUUGGGUAGCUGUAAGUAAGCGAUGAUCCAGGGAUUUCCGAAUGGGGGAACCCAACAGGUAAUACCUGUUACCUACAUCUGUUAAGGAUGUGAGGAGGAAGACGCAGUGAACUGAAACAUCUAAGUAGCUGCAGGAAGAGAAAGCAAAAGCGAUUGCCUUAGUAGCGGCGAGCGAAACGGCAGAAGGGCAAACCGAAGAGUUUACUCUUCGGGGUUGUAGGACUGCAAUGUGGACUCAAAGAUUAUAGAAGAAUGAUUUGGGAAGAUCAGCCAAAGAGAGUAAUAGCCUCGUAUUUAAAAUAGUCUUUGUACUUAGCAGUAUCCUGAGUACGGCGGGACACGUGAAAUCCCGUCGGAAUCUGGGAGGACCAUCUCCCAACCCUAAAUACUCCCUAGUGACCGAUAGUGAACCAGUACCGUGAGGGAAAGGUGAAAAGCACCCCGGGAGGGGAGUGAAAUAGAACCUGAAACCGUGUGCCUACAACAAGUUCGAGCCCGUUAAUGGGUGAGAGCGUGCCUUUUGUAGAAUGAACCGGCGAGUUACGUUAUGAUGCGAGGUUAAGUUGAAGAGACGGAGCCGUAGGGAAACCGAGUCUGAAUAGGGCGCCUUAGUAUCAUGACGUAGACCCGAAACCAUGUGACCUACCCAUGAGCAGGUUGAAGGUGCGGUAAGACGCACUGGAGGACCGAACCAGGGCACGUUGAAAAGUGCUUGGAUGACUUGUGGGUAGCGGAGAAAUUCCAAACGAACUUGGAGAUAGCUGGUUCUCUCCGAAAUAGCUUUAGGGCUAGCGUCGACAUUAGAGAUUCUUGGAGGUAGAGCACUGUUUGGGUGAGGGGUUCAUCCCGGAUUACCAAUCUCAGAUAAACUCCGAAUGCCAAUGAAUUAUGGUCGGCAGUCAGACUGCGAGUGCUAAGAUCCGUAGUCGAAAGGGAAACAGCCCAGACCACCAGCUAAGGUCCCAAAAUAAUUGUUAAGUGGAAAAGGAUGUGGGGUUGCACAGACAACUAGGAUGUUAGCUUAGAAGCAGCUAUUCAUUCAAAGAGUGCGUAAUAGCUCACUAGUCGAGUGACCCUGCGCCGAAAAUGUACCGGGGCUAAAACAAUUUACCGAAGCUGUGGAUACCUUUAUAGGUAUGGUAGGAGAGCGUUCUAUGUGUGAUGAAGGUAUACCGUGAGGAGUGCUGGAACGCAUAGAAGUGAGAAUGCCGGUAUGAGUAGCGAAAGACAGGUGAGAAUCCUGUCCACCGUAAGACUAAGGUUUCCAGGGGAAGGCUCGUCCGCCCUGGGUUAGUCGGGACCUAAGGAGAGACCGAAAGGUGUAUCCGAUGGACAACAGGUUGAUAUUCCUGUACUAGAGUAUGUAGUGAUGGAGGGACGCAGUAGGCUAACUAAAGCAGACGAUUGGAAGAGUCUGUCUAAGCAGUGAGGUGUGAAUUGAGUCAAAUGCUUAAUUCUAUAACAUUGAGCUGUGAUGGGGAGCGAAGUUUAGUAGCGAAGUUAGUGACGUCACACUGCCAAGAAAAGCUUCUAGCGUUUAAACAUACUCUACCCGUACCGCAAACCGACACAGGUAGUCGAGGCGAGUAGCCUCAGGUGAGCGAGAGAACUCUCGUUAAGGAACUCGGCAAAAUGACCCCGUAACUUCGGGAGAAGGGGUGCUGACUUAAAGUCAGCCGCAGUGAAUAGGCCCAAGCAACUGUUUAUCAAAAACACAGCUCUCUGCUAAAUCGUAAGAUGAUGUAUAGGGGGUGACGCCUGCCCGGUGCUGGAAGGUUAAGAGGAGUGCUUAGCGUAAGCGAAGGUAUGAAUUGAAGCCCCAGUAAACGGCGGCCGUAACUAUAACGGUCCUAAGGUAGCGAAAUUCCUUGUCGGGUAAGUUCCGACCCGCACGAAAGGCGUAAUGAUUUGGGCACUGUCUCAACGAGAGACUCGGUGAAAUUUUAGUACCUGUGAAGAUGCAGGUUACCCGCGACAGGACGGAAAGACCCCAUGGAGCUUUACUGCAGUUUGAUAUUGAGUGUCUGUACCACAUGUACAGGAUAGGUAGGAGUCUAAGAGAUCGGGACGCCAGUUUCGAAGGAGACGCUGUUGGGAUACUACCCUUGUGUUAUGGCCACUCUAACCCAGAUAGGUGAUCCCUAUCGGAGACAGUGUCUGACGGGCAGUUUGACUGGGGCGGUCGCCUCCUAAAAGGUAACGGAGGCGCCCAAAGGUUCCCUCAGAAUGGUUGGAAAUCAUUCGCAGAGUGUAAAGGUAUAAGGGAGCUUGACUGCGAGAGCUACAACUCGAGCAGGGACGAAAGUCGGGCUUAGUGAUCCGGUGGUUCCGUAUGGAAGGGCCAUCGCUCAACGGAUAAAAGCUACCCUGGGGAUAACAGGCUUAUCUCCCCCAAGAGUUCACAUCGACGGGGAGGUUUGGCACCUCGAUGUCGGCUCGUCGCAUCCUGGGGCUGUAGUCGGUCCCAAGGGUUGGGCUGUUCGCCCAUUAAAGCGGCACGCGAGCUGGGUUCAGAACGUCGUGAGACAGUUCGGUCCCUAUCCGUCGCGGGCGUAGGAAAUUUGAGAGGAUCUGCUCCUAGUACGAGAGGACCAGAGUGGACUUACCGCUGGUGUACCAGUUGUCUUGCCAAAGGCAUCGCUGGGUAGCUAUGUAGGGAAGGGAUAAACGCUGAAAGCAUCUAAGUGUGAAACCCACCUCAAGAUGAGAUUUCCCAUGAUUAUAUAUCAGUAAGAGCCCUGAGAGAUGAUCAGGUAGAUAGGUUAGAAGUGGAAGUGUGGCGACACAUGUAGCGGACUAAUACUAAUAGCUCGAGGACUUAUCCAA
rnacentral:rRNA from 1 species